rnacentral:tRNA from 1 species
GGGCGCGUAGCUCAGAUGGUUAGAGCGCACGCCCGAUAAGCGUGAGGUCGGUGGUUCGAUUCCACUCGUGCCCA